rnacentral:misc_RNA from 1 species
UAUGAAGAACGUAGCGAAAUGCGAUACUUGGUGUGAAUUGCAGAAUCCCGUGAACCAUCGAGUCUUUGAACGCAAGUUGCGCCCGAAGCCAUUAGGCCGAGGGCACGCCUGCCUGGGCGUCACACGUCGUUGCCCCCCCAUCUACUCCUUCGGGAUUGCGGGGGGCGGAUGAUGGCCUCUCGUGCGCCUCGUCGCGCGGUUGGCCUAAAUGCCAAGUCCUCGGCGACGCACGCCACGACAAUCGGUGGUUGCGAAACCUCGGUUGCCUGUCGUGUGCGGUCGUCGCGCAUCGAGGGCUCGAAAAAAUUGCCGGGCUUCGGCUCGACUUUCAACGCGACCCCAGGUCAGGCGGGGUUACCCGCUGAAUUUAAGCAUAUCAAUAAGCGGAGGA